ACAGGUCUAUUAUAUCAAGUACCCCCGGGUUAGGAACAGAGAUGAUCCAUGGGUCACUGUUACUUCACUCAACCUGAGAGGCCGAGUUCAGGGAAGUUCUGAGCUGGAAGACCCACUACAACCAAGCACAUCCGGUAACUUAAAUGCAGCAGAAGAUUUAGUUGCAGUUGGCCUUGUAGUCGAUUUAACCGACUUUGGAGAUGAAGCCGUCGUUCAGCCACUGUCGGGAUUCUUCAUUUCCCGCUCCGGUUUUUGCUCCCGCUGCUGCACCCUCUCCCGUUGCUGCACCCCCUCCCACUGCUGCACCCCCUCCCGCUCCUCCAGUCGUUCCGGGAGUGAUGACUGUUGCCCAGUUGGUUCAACAGCCCGGUCGUGAGCAUCUUCCCUAUCUCACUCCGUGUCCAAAGGGACGACUUCAAACAUGGUAAUUUAAAGUCUUUUUUUUUCCUUUCAUUAAAAUUUGAUUCAUUAUUAAUAAUUUGUUUCUUAUAUUAGGUUCAACCGAUCCGGGAACGGGAUCAGCGCAUGGAUCAACAAUAUGAUGUACUCGAACCUCAGCAAGGAUAUCCGACUUUCACUCACUUCCCUGCCGAGGACCAGGAGAUGUGGUUUCGUCAGUUUGCGGUAAGUAUUCUAAUUUUUUUACUUAUAUUUUUUAUCUUUAAUAUAAAAUUUCUACAAAUUAUGUUUUUUUUUCAGCAAGAGUUCACCUGGAAUCCCGAUCACACGAACUUUAUCCGUGACGCCUUCGUCCAUAAAGUUAUGGACAACUAUGGGAAGCAGAUCUACGAGUGGAAGCAGAAGUGGCUCAUCAACCAGGUUUUUUUUUAAUUUAUUAAACAAUUUUUUGAAUUUAUUAACUAGUUUUGGAUUUAUUAAACUAUUUUAUAUUUUUUUAUUAAAAGGUCCCGAAGUCGAUUAACAGCACGGUCUGGGAGGAGUUGUGUGUGCAUUAAGAUAAGGACGAGACGAAAGCUACCUUUGUGACCAACUCCGCCAACCGAAAGAGCUAUCGUGGCGGGAAGGGCAUGUACAAGCACAAUUUGGGUGCCCAGAUUAUUGCCACUCUGGGGAUCGCUUGGUAAGUUCAAUCUCUCUUUUUUUUUUAAUUAUUUAAGUAUUUUAUUUUAAUUUUUAUGCAUUUCUUCUAAUUUCUAAUGUUUGUUUAACUUUUGUUUUUUUCAAGGCGGAUGAAAAUGAUGGCGAGCCGGUUGAUGAUUUCGUCCUAAUGAAGACGGCGCAUACCAACAAGCACACCGGGGAGAUUGAUGAUGGUGUUGUGAGGGAUGUGCUCAGCCUGAUCGAAACUCAGAAGGAAGACGAAGAGACCCGUCUAUCUCAGCUUCAAACCGACCUGGACGCCACUUCGACGGCUUCGACCAACUUGUCCCGGAUUCGAAUCAACGAAAUCGUUGAAUCGUCGGUUCCAAAGAAGAAGGGACGUUUGGUCGGUUUGGGUCGUCGAGCCCGGUCAGUUCCUCCUUCUGCACCACAGCCCUAUGUUGAUCCAGAAGUGCUUAUGGACCCGUUGAAGGACAAAGAUGACCGCAUAGCUGCGUUGGAGCAAAAGAUGGCGGAUCAAGAGGCGGGAUGGGAGGCAACGAGGAAGCAGAACGAGCAAAUGAUGGAGAUGAUGAAGAGGAUGUACCCGAACGAGCCGUUCCCAUAGUUUCUUUCUUUUUUUUUCAAAAACUCUGAAUGUUUUAUUUUGGUAUGUAAAACUUUGAAUAUUAUCAUGUUUUCUAUUUCAAUUUUAAUUUUAUUUUUUCGAAUUUCAAUUAAAAAAAUAAAUUUUUAAUUUUUAAAACAAAAUUAUUUUUGGGAACAUUCCGAGGAAGUGUAUCCCUCGCGAUAUUCCGACGCAACUUCCUCGAAAUUUUCCGAGGGACAUAUCUCCUCAGAAUAUCCCGACGGAUACACUUCCUCGGAAUAUUCCGACGGCAAAGGUUUCUCGGAAUAUUCCCGUCGGAAUAUUCCGAUACCUCCUUUCUCUCAGAAUGUUUCCGAGGACCGUUCCAUCGGAAAUAUCCGAGGAGAUACCGAGGAACAGUCUUAGGAAAUGUUUCUUCGGAAUGUCCUCGGAAUCUUUAAUUCUCGGUAUUCCCUUGGAAUUUUCAAAGGAAAUUCCGAGGAAAUUUUACUUUCCGACGAGAAAUUUCCGACGACCAUUCUCGUCGGUAUGUCCUCGGAAUAACGGUAUUCCGAGGACAUACCGACGAGAAUGGUCGUCGGAAUCCCGGUGUUUUCUUGUAGUGUUGAGAGAUUUGUGAUUGGAACUCCAUUUGAUUCAUCUAUUCUAUUCUAUGCAGUUUUCAUUUACAUUUUGUGUCAUGAAAUGCUUAGCUAUGUCUGAGUAGUUCACUUGUUAGAUUCAGGGUUCAAAUAGGUUAGAGGGAUUAGCCCCAACUAUUGAUUGCUAUGUUGUGGUAUUUAUUGAUAGAUUGAUCUUAAUGCUUGUUCUAGAUUAGCUACCUAGAAUAUUGAAUCUAGGAAUCUGCAUGAGUCAAGCAACCUUGACCAUCCAGUCCUGAAUCUAAUCUGUCAGACUAGACGAUAGGAAAAAGUCUACCGCUGAACCAGGAAGCUAGUGGUCAUUAUCAACUUGCGCCUAGGGCUAAACUAGAAGCAUCGAUCGAUACUGUCUUCUGACAAUCGAUCGAUCUUGCGAAAGGUGUAUCGAUCGAUGUCCCUAUAGGACCAUCGAUCGACACUUUCUUGUGGUCAAAAAACGACAGUUGAGAUCCAAGAUCUAGUUAGUUAACUAGUGAAACAUUGCCAUUGCUGAUCACUGUGUUAAGGGGUUGAGUUCUAACAUAUAAUGCAAGCAACUGAUAGGCAUCUAUAGGAUUAUAAUCUCCAACACCUGAAUAGAAACCCUGCAUCUAAUAUCUUUCCAAUAAGUUACACCCCCAAUCAUCUUGUUAGUCGAGCAAUAGACUUGCUCAUUUAGGAUUGCUAUUUACUUUUAAACCAAUAAAUAACAAAAACCUUAGAAUUAAUAAUCAUGUAGAUUUAAUAGGUUCCCUAGCUCCUUGUGGAUUCGAUCCCUAAGUACUACAAUUGAACCUCUUAUUUGAGAGAGUAAUUCACUCCUUAGGGUAAUUUGAGUGGUAUCAAUCGAUAUUCCUCUAGAAUCAUCGAUCGACACUUAGAUCCGGUCAAUACCCAAACGUAGAAAGCGAACGCCGAUUGGUUUGUUCAUAAGCGUUUGAGCUCUAUAAUAUCAUGCAUACAACUGUUAGGCAUCUGUAGGAUUAUAAUCAUGAUUACCAAAAUAGAAAAUAUAAGUCUAGCUAUUUCAUUUAAGUACCAAAAACCCAAUCAAACCAAUCGAGAAACUGCCUUGCUCACAACCUGCUAUUUACAUUUAAACAUGAUCAACCUAGCUUAAUCACUCUGAUUAGAUUUAUUAAGUUUCCUAGCUCCUUGUGGAUUUGAUCCCUAAAUUUGGCGCCGUUACCGGGGAGCUUUGAUCGCCUAUAGAUAUGGUCUGAUUUUGUCUUGGUUACUUCUUUAAAUCACUUUCUGACAUAAAUUUUUUCUUGUCUUUUCAGGUACAUGCCUAACAGUACCAGAAGCAACAAGGAAACACCACUACUAUUCUCUUCAGAUCCUUCAAGCUGGGAACGUUCGAUCCGCAAAGGAAGACGCUUUCAUCGAUCGACAACAACACUAGUUCAUCGCUCGACACUCUCCAACCACCGUUGACCCAAACACCAAUUUCGUCGACGGACACUCGCUCACCACCCUCGACCGAAGCAACUCUUUUGUCGACCGAUAUCCUCCAUCCACAUCGAUCGAUACUUCAUCCCAAAAAUUGAUCGAUACUGAGCCGCGAGACAUGGUUGCCACUUUAGUUCUUGUGCGAGAUGAGAAUGGAGACCUGCAUGACCUGGAGGGCAUCUGCGUAAUGCAGCAGGCCAGCGGAUAGAUGCUCAGGGGACUGUAAUCCAUGAGCCCGAUACUGAUGCUACAAGAGCUGCUCAGCCUGUAGAUGAGGCUGCUCGACCCAUAACGUUUGCUGAUUACAACCGUACAGAUCAGUUCUAUCCCAACAGAUCAGCUAUUCAUCCUCCAACUAUCUAGAAAGGCGAUUUCGAGUUGAAGCCGCGGUACUACACACUCGUGCGACAGACACCCUAAUGUGGGAUAUCUCACGAGCAUCCUAUGGACCAACUGGAGAGGUUUGAGGAUCUUAUAUCUGCUAUCAAAGUCAAUGGAGUCCCUGAGGACCACCUAUUCUGCAAGCUCUUCAAGUACUCACUUGCUGGAGAGGCUUCGCAUUGGCUUAAGCAGUUACCACCAGGAUCCCUUACAUCCUGGGCCAACAUCAAGAAUGCAUUCCUGCGUAACUUCUUUGAUCAGGCACAUGCUGAAGACUUGAGGAGCAAGAUUGCUACAUGAGCCUACAAAGUCAUUUAGAAGUUCUAGAUCAGAUUCAAGUCUUACCAAAGGGAUUAUCCAAACCAUGGAUUCAAUGAAGUAUAGCUGCUCAGUAAUUUCUUCAGAGGCCUCAAAGCACAGUAUCAGAUGGCUCUUGAUGCAUCUAGCGAAGGGAAUUUCAACACUAGAAAUCUAGAUGAAGCUGUGAGACUUAUUGAGAACUUGGUAUCCAGCAAUAACACCAAGAACACUGAUUUUGAGAGGAGGAAAUCUGCAGCCAUCCUUGGGAAGGUGCAGAUGGAUGAGGUGAAAGCAAAGCUGGACAGUCUUCACAAGCUUCUCAUGAAGUAGGCUUGCUUAUUGGAGGAUGCAGAUGCUGUAGUUACAGAGGGUAGAGCAGAAGUAAAGGAGGAUGUGAACUUCAUCAGUGGAACUGGAUUCCAGGGUUCUGAAAACAAGAGUGUAAACAGAAACUUCUAUGGCAAUGGACAUAUGAGUAACUUCAAAUAGAGUUCACAGUACCAGAAACCCUACAGCCAGAACUACAGCAGCAACAACAAUAGGAGUUAUGAAAACUAAUCUUACCAGGAACCACCACCACCCACUCAGGAGAGCAAUAUUGAAUCAAUGCUUGAUAGAGUUCUUGAAGGACAGCAUAACCUGACGGUGAACUUCAAUGGGAAGAACGAUUAUGCCUACAACAACCUGAACUCAAAGUUUGAAACUUUGAGCACUCAUGUGAAAAAGCUGGAGAUGCAGGUAGUUCAGACAGGGGAAGCUGUUAAGAAGCAAGAAGCUUCAGCAAUGGGGUAGGAGAUGAUGCAAUGAAACACCACGUGAAUGCCAUCAUGGAUGAUGACUUCUGGCAAGUGGUGAAGCAUGAGAAGCUACAUGAAGGAGAUUUUGAAGUCGAAAGCUCGAUGAGUUUUGGCAGAUCGCAUUGGUGUCGAUCGACGCCAGACUUCGAACAUCGAUCGACGGAUUGCAACCAGAACUGAUCGACAAGCUUACCAGAGCAUCGUUCGACGACACCUACAGAGUCGCCUGCAUCGUGCAAUGCCGUGAGGAUCAUGACUCACAAGGAGUUCACAGCUAGACACUUAAAUCCGCCCAGCCCUGUUUAUGUCAACAUCGAUUGGCAAAAUGAGCCAGCCAUCGAUCGACAACGAGAGACCACCACUGAUCGACAACAUCCAGCGCCCAUCGAUCGGCGAACACCUCUCACAUUCCGAGUGCAGUUACCAAAGAUCGACAGCGCACAAAUCAAUGCACUCAGGCCACAACCAAAACCUUCAGACAACCCACCAGAGACCACCAGUACACAUUCAGAAGAUGCACCAGAGCCUAUGCAAGUUGAUAAGGGUACUAUAGGGAAAACCUUGAGGAAGAGAAAGGACAAGGUUGCUAAGCAUCUGAAGAGAGGAGCUAAUGAGAAGGAGAUGGAUAGUUUUCGUAAGAGAGUCUUUAGGAUUCUACUGGAAAAAUCAUUCGAGGAGGCCUACGUUACCCACAGAUUGUGGAUGUUCUUUAGAGAGACCAAGGAGGCUGAAGAGGACAUUAGGAGAAUGUUCCAUUAGGCUAGAUAUAAGAUGAAGAAUGUGAUUACACUGAAGAAGAAGAGUGAUCCUGGGAAGUUUGCAAUACCAUGUCUGGUGAAGGGUAUUGAGUUCCCACAUGCAUUAUGUGACACAUGAGCAUCAGUCAGCAUUCUACCUAGGGUUAUGGCAAAUCAUCUAGGUUUGAAGGUAGAGCCUUCCAAGGAAUCGUUCACUUUUGUGUAUUGUUCUCAAAGGAACUUAAGAGGGAUUGCAGAGACCUUGAAUGCAGAUUGGUACUGCCCUAGUUCCAGUAGAUUUCCAUGUCUUGGAUAUCAAGUUGAAGUGGAACUCUUCUUUGUUACUUGGAAGAGCUUUCUUGUCAACAAUAUGAGCAAUAUGCAACAUGCAAACCAACCAGUUGUGCCUGGCGCUCAUAGAUCCGCAUGUCUAUUAUGAUCCAAGUCCAGUUAUGAAGCCACAGACGUCCUCCUGAAGAAUCGAUGAUCCAGGACUCAUAGCAGCAUGUCACUGUGGAGCUGAGUACGAGACAGAGUAUUCCGCGUCGAUCAAAACUCACACACCAACAUCGAUUGACUGUCCGAAAUCGAUCGAAAAUCAACCAGAAGAAUCGAUCGACAGUUCAUCCACAGCAGCACGUGACGAUUAGCAACCACAUUGUUAUCUGAGUUUUGCACUCGAAGCCGCUACAUCAUCACAGCAUCUAGAUGAGUAUGAUGAGGAUUAUGAGGGGGAACGAGUUACAGAGUAUCAAGGUAUUCGUGCUGAGGAAGAUAGACUUCUCCACCAUUCCUAUCGGAUAAGGAAUACGAAGUCGAUCGACAGAACCAUCCCAACAUUGAUCGACACUCAUCAUCACCAGACAAAUUGUAAACGAGCAUCGACCGACAUUGCCUACUACACAUCGAUCAACAAUGGAGUUGACCGUGCACAAGAAGGAAACUAUUCAAUUGGCAGUUGGGCAUAUGAUCACUAUCAUGAGAGCUACGCAAGAGAAAGAGCAAUACAUGAGCCGGGAGCAGAUGAGUAACAUGAAGGUUUCACUACCGAGGAACUGCUCAACCACCAGGAACGCUCAGAUACAGAUUCACUCUUUGCAGAAGUUUGUGGAAGAAGCACUCGUUUCUGUCGUCCUUUCACCAGAGCUAAACGCCCAUCGAUCGACAAAAAAGCUUCAACAUUGAUCGACAACCGUCCAAAACCACCAUCAACUGUAAGUGCAAAAGCUAAACAAAAUAAUAACUAUCUAACACUGGAUGAGUUUGGUAUUUUCAAGGAUCCAGAAGGCUAUGCAAGAGCAAUGAAUGGACACGAUUGCAAGUAUCCAGAGAGGACAUUCCAGAUAUCCUUCUGAUGGCUAAUGGCUAAUGGAGCAGAAAAUCUCUUCAUGCAACGACACAACCCUCUAGAGCACCAGCAUAGAGUUAUAAACGAGUUCUAUGACCCAACUGGUGGACUAGAUGAUCGUUUCAAGCCAAAGUGUCGACAACAUACUCAACUGUUGAUCGACAUCAGAGUCCCAACAUUGAUCGACCGACGUCCAGAGUUCGGAAAAAGAGCCUACGACGGUGAUGGAACAAGGAAAUUCCACUGGGAAGGGAAUGAUGAGUGUGGGGUCUACAGAGAUGAUCAUGAACAUGCACGAAAUGUAAAAGGACACAUCAUCCAUGUAUCUAAGGAUGAUAUAAGAAAUCUUCUGGUAAGAGCCUCAAUGGAUGAACACAGCUACAUAUGUCUUCCAGAGCAUGCACGGUCAUUCACCCAGACCAUGCUAGUACCAGAAAUCUUCACCAACAAUGAGAUAAAUGAGAUGCUUUAUGGAAUCUGUGGAGCCCAGGAAAAGAAUGAUGAUGAUUUCCAAAUGAAUCUUGAUGGUUUCUAAUACCCAUUGAAUGAUAGUAUUAGUUGGUUGACUACAUGCAUGGAGAGAUGAGGCAAGACAUAGUCAGAAUGCAGACACAGCGUGCGGCCGAAGCAAUUACACCAGCAUUGAUCGACAGAAACAUCUCGAUAUCGAUCGACGAUGAACUGUCACAAUCAAAUCCGAUGAAGUCUCGACCAGAUACUUACACUAGAGCAGAGAUUGAUCAGAUAGUAGAAGAGAUCUACAAAACUAUGGGAGCCCCAGAAGAGAGGCUUGAUAGGAGAUGUGAUGACAUCUAUUUCCCAUGGGACAUCACCAUCAGUUCUUUGACUUCUCAGACAUAAGCAAUGCAGAGGGAGAUAGUGGAGCUUCAGAGAUACAUCGCGUGUCGUCCAGAGGCAUCGACAGACGCAUCAACAUAUCGACCGACAGUCACAGAAGAACAUCGAUCGACAAAACCACACCAACAAACCGAGGAGAGCUAGUAACAAAGGUGAAAUUAGAUAUGUCUGAUACAAACAAACAUGGAGAGGAGAUCUCAGCUGACACAUACGCCAGACUUGUGAUACAUCAGUUCAAACUUGAAUGACUUGGAGACAGACUGCAGAAGAUAGAAAAUACAACUGCAAGAAUGAAAGUCAAAUGGUGCAGAGGAGAUGAGGCAGUGAAAGACUUCACUGGUACAUGGUUCAACAAGAGCAGAGAAGAGAUGGAGACUUGCUUCCCAGCAAGUACCUGUUUUCCACAUUACUAGCCAAAUCAACUCCAAUGUCAAGCUAAAUGACUAUAAUAAAGCGCUGAGUGGGAGGCAACCCACUAUUAGGUAAUUUUAAUUGGUUUUCAUUAGUUUAGUACUUAUGCCCGUUUUUGAAUUUUGCAGGUCAUAAAAAAAAAACAGAUCCAAGUAGACGAUUGCCAAGAAUAUCAAACGAUGAGAUCCAGCCGAUAUCAAUCGACAGAACAUCACCUGCCGAGACCGAUGACAACAACAACACAUCGAUCGAUAUUUAUUCCGGUCUGGUAUAUCGUUCUUACUUGUUAAAUGGAGUCCUUUUGCUUUAGUUAUCACCACAACAUGAUAGGCCAUGGAUUUUACCCACUUUUAGUCGUGGUUUAUAAGUGUUUUAACAACUAAUUACUAUGUUGUAGAGUCUAUUUAGUAUAUUUAUAGGAUCAGGAGUGCUUUGGAAGAAAGUGAUGAUUUUGGAGCAUUUUGGAGACAAUUGGAGAGAGCAUCCGAGCUUACCAUCGAGCAAGAUCAACGGUCCACAUUUUGAGAUAAUAAUCGAUCAACACACACCUUUUGACAUUGAUCGAAAGCGAAGCGCGCAGAAGCCCAUUUGGUUUCAGCAGACUUAGAGCCCAAGACUUCACCAAAUUACAAGAUUGCCCCUGGCGAGUUUUUAACCUAAUAUUUAUAGCUUCCAAAGUGUUUUAGGCAAAGUGUGCUUUCUUGUUUUCUUAUUUUCACAACAAAGGUUUUCUAGGAUUUUAGUAGAGUUGGAGAGAAGAUCCAAAGAGAUUUGUGAUUGAAACUCCCUUACUAUCUAUUAUCUAUUUAUGCAGUUUUUAUACCUUGUGGUUAUGAAUUGCUUAGCUAUGUCUAAGUGGUUCUAUAGCUAGGUUUAGGGUUUAAAUAGGUUAUGAGGGAUUAGCCCGAACUGUAGAUUGCUAAGUUGUGAUAUUCAUCAUUAGGAUUGUCAUUAAUGCAUGUUUAUAGUGUAGCUAGCUAGGAGUUGUAGGCACAAAUUAACACUUGAAUCUCACCCUGAAUCCGUCCUAAUUGAGCUAGGAUUGUUAGGGUAAGGUGAAAGCUAAUCUAGUAAGCCUAGUGAGCACUAUUAAACCCGCGCGUAAAGCUUGACUAAGAGCGCGUCGAUCAAUAUUCCUAGAUAAUAAUUGAUUGACAGAGCAAUAGGUGUAUCGAUCGAUAUUCCUUUAGAAUCAUCGAUCGACACUUAGAUCUGGUCAAUAGACAAACCUAGAAAGCGAACGCCGAUCGGUUUGUUCAUAAGAGCUCUAUAAUAUCAUGCAUACAACUGUUAGGCAUCUGUAGGAAUUUAAUCCUGAUUACCUGAAUAUAAACCCUAAAUCUAGCUAUUUCAUUUAAGUACCAAAAACCCAUUCAAACCAAUCGAGCAACUGCCUUGCUCACAACCUGCUAUUUACAUUUAAACAUAAUCAACCUAGCUUAAUCACUCUGAUUAGAUGCGAUCGUGACAUUGCUGAUUACCCUAUUUCUAUUGGUGCCGAUCCUGUAUUGUUUUGUAACCGUAUGAAAGACGCUCUUGUCAACAAGGGUUAUAAAGGGGAGUUGUCAAUCUAUGUUUACGUUGAUACUGGUGAAUUGCUACCUAAAUGUCUGGAGACCUUUGUCGAAUUCGAUUUCUUGCCCAAAGGUGAUGACUAUGCCAGAAUUUCUUCGAUGUUAGUGGACAUUUCUUUUUGGGCACUGUCAUAUCCUCACUCAAAUAUUAUUGUCCUCUCCAAAAAAAUCGUAAGAGACACGAUUUUGUCUUUCGAAAGCUUGUAUAAUACACAUGGUCUUCUCUUAUCCAAAACUGAACCGCAUUGGCUGGUUCCUAGUGAAAGUUCAGCCUUGUUUCUGGCAAGCCUUUUUAAAGACCAACCGGAGGCCAGCUGACAAGCUCUCAAACGUGUUCUGCCAAUUAGUUGAAGCCGAGGCCAGUUGCUCCUCUUUGACCUGGAACCCGUGUAUAGAAUUCCCAAAACUGCUUUGUCUUGCUUUGUUAAACUGCUUUGUUAAACUGCUUUGUCUUGCUUUGUUGAACUGCUUCCCGUUUCUUUAAUAUGCUUCCGCUUUCGUUAAA